CAGGACCCAUCUACAAGCUAGGCGGUUUUGGAUUUGUGUUUCAAAAGGGUUAUAGUUUGGCAUCAGACAUAUCCCAAGCAAUUUAUAGAUUAAGUGAGAGUGGGGAAUUGCAGCGAAUGGANNNNNNNNNNNNNCCUCUACCAAUUGCUCUGUUUCAUUAUCUGAUGCCAAUGUGACCUCAAGUUUAGGACCAGAACCAUUUUUAGGAUUGUUCAUUAUGUCAGGAGGUGCAUCCGCAAUUGCUUUGCUAAUCACAUUGAUAUGUCUAUUGAGACGACAUUGGGACAGAAUAAUCAACAUUCAAGCAGCAUUUGCGGGUAUAAAACUUUGUCCAUUGUUGGUUAACAGAAAACAGAUAACUGAGCUUUCAAUUCAAUUGGAGACAGAGUAGCUCCGCUCCUCGACCAGAACCCAGAAGGCAUUGCA
rnacentral:misc_RNA from 1 species